UCGCACCUACCGCUUAAAUGGUCUGGUAUGGCCUUGGGAUUGUGGCCCCUGCUAUUCAGUUGAUGGGGGCCGUGAGAACUUGUCCAAACCUUACCAUUUAGAGGAAGGUG
rnacentral:rRNA from 1 species